ACCAGAGUAACAAUUGGAGGGCAAGUCUGGUGCCAGCAGCCGCGGUAAUUCCAGCUCCAAUAGCGUAUAUUAAACUUGUUGCAGUUAAAAAGCUCGUCCUUGAAUUUCUGCGUUGCCCGACUCGGCUACUUGCCUUGUCUGGUUUCAAUUUUGGGGUUUUCCCCUUUUUACUUUGAGAAAAUUAGAGUGUUUCUCUCAGACUUGUGUCUUGAAUACUUCAGCAUGGAAUAAUAAAGUAGGACUUUGGUUCUAUUUUGUUGGUUUGUGAACCUUAGUAAUGGUUAAUAGAGUCAGAUUGGGGGAAGAAUUAAUUAUUAACUGGCACAGGUGAAAUUCUUAGAUUUGUUACAGACGAACUAC
rnacentral:rRNA from 1 species